rnacentral:rRNA from 1 species
AGCUCCAAUAGCGUAUAUUAAAGUUGUUGCAGUUAAAAAGCUCGUAGUUGCAUUUCCGAGGCAAGGGAUUAGUCCGACCUUUGGUGGGUAUUUAAUCCUCUUGCCUCGUCCUUGAGUGGUGCUUCUUGGUAUUAAGUUAUCGAGGAGAUAGCCGCUCAUCGUUUACUGUGAGAAAAUUAGAGUGUUCAAAGCAGGCUUAUGCCGUUGAAUAUAUUAGCAUGGAAUAAUAAGAUAGGACCUCGGUACUAUUUUGUUGGUUUGAGAACCAAGGUAAUGAUGAAUAGGGACAGUUGGGAGUAUUCGUAUUCAGUUGUCAGAGGUGAAAUUCUUAGAUUUACGGAAGACGAACUACUGCGAAAGCAUUUACCAAGGAUGUUUUCA